rnacentral:lncRNA from 1 species
GUCUUUAGUAGGGCUGCCCUUCUUUAGGCUCUGAUAGUCGUCAUCAUCAUCAUCACUAAGAAUAUCGGAUUCUUUAACAAGAGCAUUGGAAAAGUCGGAGGAACAGCUCUGUACGUGUUGAUCGGGGGAUGAAGUUUUGGGCUCCUGUAUGCUCUCUGUGGUGUUGCAGCUGCUGCUCUGGGUGCUGCUGCUCAGGCUGCAGUCAUCAGAGUCCUGGAAGGUGCCUUUCCCCUGGUCACCGUUCCACUCACUGCUGGGUGAAUUCUUCAGUACCUUCAAGGACCUGGUGGAAGCUGUGCAGAAGAAGGCAGUUUUAUCUUCUCAUCCAAACAUCUGGUUAUACUGUCUGGCUUAACAACCCACUUCCAGUCACAGUGUACAUAGUCUCAUUCAAGGUCAGGUGUGUCAGCAUUCUAGUACCAACAGUGUAGUUAAGCAUCAGAUUUUUCAGUCUUACCUCCUCCAGAGUUAUAUGCUUGCCUUUCUGUGCAGGCAUAUAUACCUCAAGCACUAGAGGGCCAAGUUGUAGGCAUGAGUUGAACUGUCCCUGAUCCUGCCAUGUAAUGGGGAUUUUGGUCAACUGAACACAUAGAGAACUAGAAAUACUAGUAGCCAACUAGUAGAUAAAAAGCCUGAAGCCUGUGCUUAAUUAAUUAGGGUAUGUGCUGGGAUGCAGAUUAAGAGAACAUGGAAAGAAACAAACAAGAGCCCUGUCUUUUGUUAUUUGUUUCAGCUUUAAAUGUUAGCAGGGCUGAGACACUAGAGAUAACCCAGAGGAAAGAACGCAGUAUUCUGCAUGCCAAAGGGAGUCUGUUUCUAACCAACAAAAUGGGGCCUUACUAAGUCUUCCCUUAAGACAGCUAAUGACAAAUCAAACAGGACAAUACAGUGGGGGACAGCAAGCUUGCUUAUCUCCUCUAGCCCUUGCCAUACACCGAGUUGUGGAGAAACUGCUGCAACUAAUCAACCUGAAAAAGAAAUGGAAUUUGUGGGUCUGGCACAUGACACCAUACAGCCACUUUAACAACUGUGAAUCAUCUGCCAGCUCUGGAUUCCAUUUUUCACUUUGAGAACCUGUUUCUUACCCAGUUUAGCUGUCGCAGGCACACGGUUCUUCAGUGGAAUGAGGCGAUCUUUACAGGUUUUGUCCAGAGGCAGCUCACAUUUUAUGUGACGUCUGAAAUUCUCCCGCAAGAUAGAACGGAUCACCUUCACGAUGUUAGUCUUGUUCUCGCAGUCGCUGCAAGUUUAAGAGAACAGGUAAUCUAAUUUUCACAUCUGAAGAAAGACAGCUGAAAUCAAAUUCAACCUCCUGCUUUCUGUUGAUGUGCUUUAGCGCAGUGGUUUUUUUUCAGUCACUUUCCUUAGUUUGGCAGUUAACAUUGUUCUGUGUUGUUAAACACAAAACACGCUCUUGUGUUUUGAGAUCUUUCUUGCUUCCUUUAGAAAAACAGCCUGAAAGAGACUUUAGGUACCCAAGCAUUACCCUUGAGCGGUGUUAUCAGAUUAGGGGUAGGCAAUUUCUGCUAACCAACCAAGAGUCUGGUAAAAUUAGUCUGCCCCUAUCAUGCUGGAAUUUAUGAUACUACACCUGUGCAGAUUUCCACUGUAUCACUGCAUCAAGUUCAGCGUAGUUUCAAACUGUUAUAUCUGGUAUAUCUUACACAGUUAAACAGUGGCGUAGUGCCUGGAUUUAAAGACUGAUAACAGCUUUAGAAGUGCUGAUAUAAAGAUCACAGGGUGGAGGGAUCUUGUACUUUUUUUUUGUUUCAUUAAUGUAAUUCAUCCAGCUUCCAUCAAAAGCUUACCUGCUGCAUAACUGAAAAAUGGUUUCUGGCCUGCCUUCCAGUUCUGACUUUGUGUGAAUCAGUUCCCAGAUACAGCUGUUCUCUGUUCCUGUGCAUAGAAGAAAGCAUUUUUUUUAUAUAUACUUUGCAAAACAGUCAGCAUCAGAAAGACCCAUGGAGAGCAGUGUUAACAUAGGUGUGGUAGAUCCACAGAAGAUCUCAUCUGAGGUAGAACCUUAAAGAAACUUCCCUGAACUCUCAAGUUCUAGCAGCCUUGCAGGGCUACCUUUGAAAACUCGACCUUCUCUCUUGGAGAGUUUCUUUCCCCCAUUCUUAUGCUUCUUGCUGCCUUCCAGCCUUAGAAGACCUUCUCCCAUUUCCUCUAAGACACUUGGUGACACUACACAAGGUUCUGAACUGGGUAGGAUCAUAAAGAUCAACUCAGAGAAAACAAAAACAUGGUCCUCUAUGACAUCAGAUAUACAGUCAGCUUCCUACAGUUGGAAAAACACAAGACUCCGCACACAGAAAGGGCAUUAUCAGGAUGUCAGCCAAGGUAAAUCCCCAUCCUGUUCCUUGUAUCUUUCUAUCGGGAAUUUUCAUUCUGUCAUACCUUCCUAUCACCGCGCAUCUUCCUGAACUCAGGGAAGAAGAGGGAUGAAGCCAGCAUAUGGAAUUGAGAAAGUCUGUUUAUGAAUCAGGUCUGUGUCCUCUGAGGUCAGAGACAACAGUAGAUAUUACUUUCUCUAUGCCUGCCUGUUCCCAGCAGCUCCUAAAUGACAUACAGAAGAAGCAGUACUGGAGAAUCCCAGAAAACUAUUCAUUACAGAGUUUUCAGUACAAGGGAAUUAAUUACCUGCUGUGUUCCCAAGCCGAACUUGAAGAGCAGAUAGAGGAAUCAGCCAGCGAAACUUAAAUGGAUCCAAGUCACCAUAAUUAUGGGCAGCACGAACAUUAGUAGGCUGCAAAAACAAAAACAAGAGGUUAUUUCUAGUGGUUCUUUUAUGCUUUAAUUUUAGACCCAUCACUAAAGAGAAACUGCAGUUCAUUAGACUUUUUCCUUCAUACCCUUAAUGCAUGCUUGUAAGUGUAGCUGGAAUGGUGAUAGACACAGCCUUGGACUUUGUAGUUGCUUCAGCUUUUAAAAGCACUAGUUUUUAAUGGAUAAAAGUAAUACAUAAGUGCUACUAGGGAACAAACUUUCCAUGAAGAAAUAGUCUAGAGACUGUAUAUUAGCAGAAAAUUAAGUUAAUCAUGUCACUGCUGCUGCUACUAGUCUUAAAGCCCUUUCAUCUCUUAGGAUUUGCAGGUUGCAGUACAUUGCCACUGAUACUCAGGAUAUACAGCUUGCUUCCUUAGUAUUCCAAUUUUGUAAAUGGGGCCAGAGGAAGUUACAUUUGUAAUGCUUCCUUUCCUUUCAAAGUUAUCGAGGAUCUAUAAACAGAGGUCAUCUGGAUGGAAGCGAUUACUGCAUGGUAGUGUUUCAUCCCGGACAAAAGGAAUGCAUUGCUGACAUAGAGAAGAUGCUGGAGCUUACUAAACAGCACUAAAAACAAACAAACAACAACAACAAAAAAAACCCACAACAACUACAACUUACUGUUACAUAAAUACUGAGCACUUAUUUUAUCUGUGCUAGCCAAAAUUCCAGCCCAGUGAGAGGAGGUGGCGUUUUACCACAGCCACUCCCUCUUCAACACCAGUAUGAUCCAUUCUACAUAACAGCAGGAUCCUGCACAUAAACAUCCACCACAACUCACACACCAGGCUUACCAUUUUCUUUUUCAGUUUGUAGUUCUCUUUAUACACCAGUAUUACAGCCCUCUUAAAAACUAAAAAAGAAAGGAAGAGAGAGAGAAAAAAGAAGACUCUUAAAGGCAGAUACAAUAUUCAGUGAAAAUAUUAUCUUGAAGAAGCUGAAUAUUAAAAAGUAAUAAGACGAGAUAAACAAAGUGAUUGGGAAGCAUCUACACUGUAUUAAAGCAUUGAGUUUUUCAUCCCACAUUUGUUCAUGCAGUAGCAACAUCUAUUCUCAGAUUUUCUGAUGAACUUUUAGGAUGAAGCCAUUCUGCACUUGCAUUAUGAAACUACUGGCAGCCUGGCUCCUGCAAGUCUCCACACAAACAAAUAAAGCUGAUGUAGUUUAGAUGUAAAGAUCCAGGUUUUCUUUUGGAUGGAUGCCUUCAAGUGGAGUGAAAUGCCAGUACUAAGAGAGGACUGUGAAAAAGGAUGAUAAGUCUUCAUGCAGGCCAGCUUUUGUUCAAUUGGAAACAUUCAUUCAUCUCAAUUCCUACUUCUCCUUCUGAAGGAAUUCUCUGUCUUUCACAGCAUCUGACUGGAGCGGCUCACUAAUGGUAUCUAAUCUCUCAGCCUCCAGUGAGGCAGGGGCAUGUUCUCCCUAGUCAGUAAGGAGAGAACAGAAAACCAGGGGCAGUGAAGGUGCAUCUGAACUAUGGGAUAGCAGUCCUGGAUCCCAGAUUUGAUGAGGGCAGUAUACCUCUGCUCUAUCCUUACUCACGCAUCCAUAUUUCCUUCCAGUGGGAGGGAGAGGGACUGAUGAUACAGUAGGCUUUCAUGCCUACGUGAAGCCAGGAUGCAGACACAGUGAGCACAGCAUUUACUCUAGAGCUGGGCAUAGUUUCCUUCAGUUCCACAUAUUAAGUGCACUUUUCAAGCUGCAGUAGACUAAAUUGGGAAUAAAACCAGGUUUCUCAGGUGGCGGACAAGCAGUCUAAGCUAGGUUUCAGGCCAGAGUCCCUUCAUUUACUUAUACACACUCUGCUGGAAACUCCCACUUCCUGGGCUUAAGUGACUGGCAUAUUUGGAUCACUGAGAAGCUCAUCCAAGUCAACAUGUGGAAGCAGUUCACGCUUGUUCCUCUGUUUAAAAGCACUCUCUCCCCCUAUCUUGUCAUGCUUAGAGAAACUUGGAAACGUAGGAAAACUUGUCUCUUCAUGAACCUGGAGUUGUUCUCUGGGUCCAAAGACAUUUUAAAUAGAUGUAGACAAAUGCCUAAUGUUUCAGUGGAACCUUUUGAUUACUUAGUUAAUAAAUGAUUAAUAGCAUGUAUACUGUUCAGUAAAACUUUUGGUUCUGUGCUCUGAUAUCCACUUACACGUUUCAGGUUUAAAUAACCUGAAUGAGGACUCGCAGGCAAAACAUUUUGAUGCAACAGUUGUAAAACAGGUUAUUCUGUAUUCCCAGGAGUGAAAUAAAUCACCAUUUUCCUACCAGCCUCAUUUGAAAGACUUAUUUACCGUAUUAUUUUAGAGAGAAUAUUGUUGCUUGAAAAUCAUUGAUUUCCAUACGUGACACACAGAGUAUAUAAGGUUGGCUCACAGAACAGACAGUAGCAGCAAGCAAAUUAAAUGGAAAUUUUUCACUUGAAUUAGGAAAUCUAACACUUCUGCAUAUACUUUCAGAUGCAAGUCUAGCAUAGAUAACCCAUGGUUACAGGAAAAGGAGGUAGUGGCUUUAAUCUUGGGGGAAAUUUUAAUUUCUUCAUCUUUAGAUCUGAAAGAGCAGAGUCAUGAAGGAAGACACUUACCAAACACUGUAAGUUCAAGGUCUUUUCUUGCUUUGCCCAGUGAUGGGAAGGGAUUUAGCCAGGAAACUGUAGAGUGCAUCAGAAGUUCUCCCAUGGAAAGUUCAGUCACCUGGAUUAAAUUAAACAAUAAUUAAUUAACAGAAAAAAAAAAUAAGCAAUAUACAUCAAUGCCAUGAUCCACAGGUGGAAGUAAAUUAAAAUGAGUACGCAUUGAUAGCAUUAAUGAUAUUAUUUCUGUACUUAAUGAAUGUACACAGUGAGCAAGACAGGGAGAUCUGUACUAAGGCAGGACAGUGGGAGUAGUCCCCCUAGGUUGCUCUGAAAGUAAUAGCUCCCAUUUAUUUCCAUGGUAACUACAACAAAUACAAAGAGCACAAUAACAUGGAUUUGAUAGAGCAAAUUCUCAACUACCAAAAACUAUUUUUCAACAGUCAGCUGAUUCACAUGGAUGAGCUAGUUAAUAUGUUCUUCAUUUUACAGUGUGACAGUUGUGCAUGGCUGUCUGGAAUGUGGCUUGUCUUUCACACUGCUGUCACCACUGCUGAAACACACUCUUCACUGUGCUCACUUCCACUGUCUCUAUAAAUGUUUAGCAAGCAUCAAUGAACGUCAGUGGGUGCAGUGUUUUCUGCAUGGAGGAAUUCAGUGACACACCUUUGCUUCAUAUGCACUUCUGUGUUGGAUGCCAUUUGUCAGACUGCCCCUCUGCUGCCAUUUGUUACAGAGCAACAAGACGUAACAAAAUACUGGUGGGAAGGGUCAGCCUGUACAGCCACACCACCACCAUCUCCUUCCGAUGUUGUGGGCCAACAGAAUAAAAUAAGAGGCAUUGCUUUCAGAGCAGCCUUUAUAAAACAGAUAAUAACCAUAAAAGUAAUAGCAUCUAAGUUACGGAUGCUGGAUAGAAGUUCUUACUCUUAGCUUACUAAUAUAUCUUACUAUAGCUUAUAAGAUUAAGUUGACCUGAUGAUCUGUCUACAUAUAGCCAGUUGCAAACUGGCUGAUUUAUUAGAGGUAAAUGUCUUUAUACAGUAAUUAGUAUUAAUGAUACUGCCAAUGGCAUAAUUAAUGCAGGUCUUGCUCUCCAGGGCUCUUAUUUCUUCAGUAGACUACAGUGUAAAACUGAAGAGUAUCUCAGGCUGUCAAGUUUGUUUCCUAUAAAUGAUGAGAAACUAGACUGCCAAUGGAGGCGAUUUGGCUUUUAAUGUAAGGAAAUAAAACAACUGAGUUGGCAUCUUUGCAUUCAAUCUCUACCUCUACUGAUUGUGUCUGCUUCGUAAUUGUUUGAUGUAAAUGCCUAAGUUGAGACAUCUCUGCCCCAGUUCUGUGAGAUGUGUGCGCACAGUUCAUUCAGCUAAUGGCUUUUGCUCUCUCAGAUACUCACGGAUGCCUCAGCACUAGAAGCGUAGAGAAUGAGAAUAACAGGCAUUAGUGAAAUCCCUAGAAUUGCCACUUUCAUUUAUAUGGGUGGAAAAAAAAAUCUUAAGAACUGAAGAACUCUGAAGCAUAAAAUUUGAAUGCCUUUGGGCAUGGAUAAUCUCUGCAGCACUUCAGAAGAGGAAGAUGUCUUUAUUUUUUCCUACUGAGAAUUAACGUCUAUGCCUGUUUGCAAUUCUUGUCAGUCCAGAAGGUUGUCUGAGAAUUUUUACUGUAACCUACUGACAAAAAGAAGCUUCACAGGCAGAUACGAAAUGGAAGUCAAAAUAUUAAAGGAGAAUGAAGGACGCACAGCACAAAUAAGUUCCCAAAAUUACUUCAGGAAGAGAUAAAGACCCCCAACAGUUAGAAGGGGCGAAUAAAAUACGUUGUUCCUUCUCUUACCUCCUUCUCUGUUCCACUUUGAUCUGCAACCAGUUGAUCAAAUACAGUGCCAUAAUCUUCAUAUAUCUUCUGCAUCUCAUUGAUGUGACUUGCUACUUUUUCCAUUGCCUUCAGCGCUUCUAUAAAGUUUAAGAAAUUCAUAGACAGCUAUGUAAUUCAAUUGUAUUUUCUAACCAUGACAUUUUGCAUAGAAUUCUACUUGAGGCAGCCAAAAUCAUGUAGCAUUCCCAAAGUUUGUUGAUCAGAAUUCAGAUCAGUGCUUCUCAAAGCAGCUGCAGAAAGCAUUCUUCCUGAUCAAAGUGAAAAAUGCUUAUCUGAUCUCUUAAGUGCCUGAGCAGAUAGCAGUAAGCGUUCUAGUGAUGAAUAUUCAUGUAUUUGGGGUUCAUAACAAUAUGACAAGAAACAGAGUUAGGUUUUGCAUCUUGUAUAAAGGGGGCCACUAGGCUAUCCAGAGUCAUAAACACCCAUACUAGAAUAAAUAAAUUAAUAAUCUAAUGAACUUUGAUGGAAAAUAAUUGAAUUUGGCUCAUCACAAAAAAUAAAUAAAUAUAGUGCUAGGCUACACGAAGUCAUGACUGGUUGUUAUUUAUGAAAUUAAAUGCUGGCAGUCAAGUUUUAUUUAAAUUUUGUUUUCUAGGCAAAGAAUGACACUAGAUUGCAUUACUUUAUUGUUCAUACACAAAGGAGUUGGAUAAGGGCACUUAAUUACCCUAGUUCUGCCACCUCUUAAUGGUGUAGUCUUUUAACAGUUUGGCAUUCAGCCUUGACCUACAAGCAAGUCAUCCUCAACCUGGUUGUCAUGGCAAAAUACAGUAUUAGAAGCUCCCUUUGAAGUCAGUAAUGGCCUUGUGACUUUUUGCUGACAGGGCAUUUGGCCUGAAUCUAUUUUGUUAAAAUGAAAAUCGAUCCAUGAAAUUCAUCUCUGGACUUUCAUCCUUAAGGUGCUGACAGACAUGAACUGAAAUUUGUCAGGGUGAAGUCCCAAGCAUCUGAGCCUAGAAAAAGAAUCUAAUAUAUAUCUAUUAGGGCAGACACGUAUUUCUGUGUGUGAAGACUGUUUUGACACAGAACUCUUCCACACAAGCAGGAAUCACAGCCAAGCCUCAAACAACUAAAAUUUCCUUCUGCAGUGCUGUUAAAAUUUGACACAUUUCAAGAACUGAAUAAUAACCACAGUAAGUUAUUUCCAAGUGGAAAAACAACAUAAUGAGCUUCUGUCACAAGGAUUAAGGGGAAAGUCCCCGGCCCUGUUUGUCAUGACAAAUUCUGGUUGUAUCUAUUUUUCAAGGAGAUUUCGACAUACCAAGAGGGAUUUUUUGCUAAAAGCACAAUAAAGCUACUUCCUAUUUUUAAAGAGAGAGAGGGAAUUCUCUAAGUUUCGACAAGUUCUGUGCUAUCUAACAGAACGGCUACCUGCAUCUUCAGAAGAGGCUGGAAACCAAACUUAACUCAUAUUCAUUCCUGUAGAAGAAUCCAAGAAGUUACCUGUCAAAUGGUAGUGCUCCUCACUCUCGUUGUCUGUCAGGGACACCAGCUCUUUCAAAAGCAGAGGAUAUUUCAGCACUCUCUGAACAGGCUUUAUGAGAUACGACUCCAGCGUAGAGGAGUGUUGCUUUGUAGGAUUGCGAGCAUCCAAGAAGGCCUUAAAUGCACUGUCUGUUUUGGCUAAAUAGAAAUGAAUGGGUUUAUCGGUUGAACGUGGAAGUCAUAGUGUGAAAGCACAGAAUUGCAACUUGUAACCAGCAUCAAAUACCUCACCUUUUUCAAUAGAUGUUUUACACUAUUCAUGUCAUUGUCGUUUCCUGCAUUAAAUAAUGUACAGAAGGGCUAAGAGAGCAAUCAUCUAAAGGUGACAUGAUUCCUCUGCACUGCAGGCCUCUUCUGCAUCAAAUUAAAGAAGUGAUAGAGGAAGUAAUUCCUCACUUACUCUUCCAUUCAUGGCAGCUUUGAUCGACAUCCAUCAUUUAACAUGCAAGCAUAUGCAAACCAAAUAUAGCUGCUGCUUUUUGGAGUAUGAACUAAAUCUGCAGACAGCACAAACCUGUGGCAGAUGUUUCUGUUGCUAUUCAGGCUACCGCUUAGUUGUCACAAAAGAAAUCUCAUCCCUUCAGUUCUAUACCGUACUGUAGCAGAACUGCAGAUCUCAGCUCUUUCUAUUGAAAGAUAUCCUAUUAGUCCUUCCUUUGUACCCAUAUUUGCUGCAGGUCAACAGAGUUUGUUACAGUGUUUCACUGAAGUUUAAAGUCAUGCAAAUGAAUUGUAGUAAUGAAGACAAUGAAUUACCUCUCUCAAGAACUUUCUGAACUUUGAUGUGGUUGGCACAAAAGCCACUGUACAGUUUGAAGUGGUCAGCAUAAUACAGAAACGAUCCUCCCAGGGAAAACAGCAAUUUCUGAAAUCAACACAAUCAAAAUAUUUAUUACCAGAACCUGAAAUAAACAUUCAGGUACAUAACACAGAGACUCAAUGGUGUAUCUGCUGUCUUUCUAUUUGUAUCUUAGAGUGUAUAUAUAUACACACACACACACAUAUAUACACACACAUAUAUAUAUAUGUAUAUGUGUGUAUAUUAUAUACACAUAUAAAGAUACAUGCAUGUGUGUGUGUAUAUAUACAUAUAUAUAUAAACUAUAUUACAUGAAUACAUUAUCCGUAGUAGUUCCAUGAUGCUUCUCUGUUUCUGUAGACUUCAGCCUAAUUAGGCAAAGCCUGCAGUUUUCUCAGUUCUCCCUGAGCAAACACCACCACUGUAGGCAUUGUCUUACUGUAUCUUUGAGACAGAACAGUAGCAAAAAACUAUAGACAUGUAACAGGUACAUUGUGCUGGUAAAACACCUGAGCACUUGGAAGUGGGUUAUGAAAGUGCCAAAACCAGAAGAGAGAGUGUAAAACAAACACAGGAUUGCUUUCCAACUGUUUUCCUUCUUUUGGGCAGGUGAUAAUUACAGGGCACCUCUGCUUUUCCUGGAUGAAGAGGAGGAUGGGAAGAUGUGGGAGGGACUGAAUCACGAGGGAGAUCUUUUUAGAGAAAUGCUUCUCACAGCAAAGAUAAGAAAGAGAAGUAGUGAUGGAGGAAGAGGUGGAGGAGGAGGAGGAGAAAGAGAGCAACCUUCUCCCAUCUUUUUGAUCAGUGUUUGCUCCACAAAAAACAAGGGUCAAGGAGACCUGCCAGCAGUCUCUCCUAGGUUUGUGACAGCGCCAACAUCUCAGGGGAGCCUUGUUCCUCAGUUAUGUCAAGCACUGUGUGGAGCCACUGGGAAGACGACAGCACAGCGAGGGCACAAACUACAGUCAUCUACACUUCAUAGAUGUGACCCUGUUAGACCUCACAACAUGAGAAGCUCAUGCUGCAUUUAAAAGGAAAAGCUCCCAGUCUGCAGCAGGUGAACUGGACAUAGCAGGGAGCACAAGGCAGGGCAGAAUUCAGCAUAGCAACAAUAACCUUUCUACAGAAGUUACACUUUGUGUAAGCAGUGCUACUUCAUAGCAUACUCAAAGUCUACUCUGCAUUGUCUGUGUUACAUCCUUUGCCAUGGGAAAGAGGAAAAACCAUGGAGAAUAGCACUCCACACUUCCACUGCUAAUAGGUUCAAACAUAAAAGCAACCAUAUGAAACAGAACUUUAAAGCCAGAUGUCCACAAACAUUUCCAGGCAAAUUGUAAGUUAUUAAAUAACCACAUAUCUACCCGGAACUGAGACGGUGUCUCCAGUGUGUUAAAGUCCGAGGAAGAAGAUAUUCCAUCUUCAAGGGUCUCCAAAAACACCUUCUGAAAAUCCAGCAUUUCUGGCAGACUGCCGAACAAGGACUCCAUCUGUGAAAAAACAUCAGUCUAUGUCAUACAGCACUCCAUACAGCUACCUUUGGUCUUGAGAAAAUAGUCCACUAAGGAGAUAUGGCACACCAAAAGAGGUCGCAUAGACCAGUAACAUAUUCAUUAAUAUUUUUCAAAUGCAUUUUAUUUAAAAGUCAUUAUAAAAAAAAGCAGAGAUUUCUUAGCAGUUAAAUCAGAAGUAAAACUACAAUUUUUUAAAAGUGAGUGAUGUGUGAACCAGAAAGAAAGACACACACAGGUGUAAAUCCUAUUGUUAUAUUCAUUGCUUUCCUUUUAUGUAGUGCUCUUAGCAGUGAAAAGCAAACAAACAAAAAGAAACCACACAAGGUCCUAACUCAUGAAAGAAUGGAAAGAACGUCUUUCAGUAAUUCCCUCACCUCAUCUUGUGUAAGGAAGGUUUCAUUUUGAAGAGGCUCCAAGUAUAGCUCAAAGAGGCAACUCAAGUCCUGCAAGAAAUAGAAUUUAUUCACUUCUUAUCUAACUAUUUGAAUUUGUUCUUUAUAUAACAACUGUGGGAAUACAGGUAAUUUCAGGAAUAAGUUAGAGAUACAAUUCCAUUCCUGUAAUGAAGUCACCUGUGUGUUGUUAGCACUACAGUGAUGGCUAAAUUAAAAGCGAAUUGAUUUCAGUGAAAUGUUUCUGUUUCAUCCUUCAGGAUUUACAGCUUGAUUAUUACAAAUUAUAUUUUAGUAUAGCAUGAGGAGGAAACAUUACAGAUGGUGGCUUUCUGAAGAUCUGUGUAUGUGAGCAGUAUCAAAUAUCUUAAUCAUGCAUGUUAGAUAAACCAUAUAAAUAGUCACUCAUUUAAACAUCAGCAAUAAUAUUUGUCAGGACGUGACAUUUUAAAAUCCUAUUAGGUAUUAAAGCAUUCAGUUAUAUUGUCAAGUGGUGUGAUUAGGGGCUUUUUCAGUCACUUCUUCAAAGAAUUGGUGCCACUUUUGAAGACUUACUAUCCCACACCAAAGCAUGACAGCAGGGUUGGGGCCCACACUGCAGGGCUCUGUGACCCUGAGGAAAGAAAUGGCAGAAAUUCUUCUGGAGAAGGAAUAAUGAGCAUCUCUGUGAGAAUCCCCAUAAAGAGCAUUUACAACCAGCCAGGAUUUUUGCCUGGUGCUACCACAUACUACAGCGACCUCUGUCAUCUCCUUUGUUCAAGUGAUUUCCCCAUAAGAAACACCAGCUGGACAUACACAAAGGUUCAUGUUCUGUAAAGCUUCCUCAAGCUUUACAGCAUAUGGUUGUAUUAGUGUAUGGAUGGAUAUGUUAAAAACAAGAGAGUGGAAGUUUCCCUUGUUUCCCAUACACACGUUGCUACAAUGAGUACUGAUA